GACGAACGCUGGCGGCGCGCUUAACACAUGCAAGUCGAGCGAAGCGGCGGACGGGUGAGUACCACGUGAGUAACCUGCCUUAGACCUUGGGAUAGCCUCGGGAAACCGGUAUUAAUACCAAAUGGUCUAAGAUGGACUCGCGUCCCAUUAGCUAGUUGGUGGGUAACGGCCCACCAAGGCGACGAUGGGUAGCCGGCCUGUGAGGGUGGACGGCGACAUUGGAACUGAGAAACAGUCCAAACUCUACGGGAGGCAGCAGUGGGGAAUAUUGCACAAUGGAGGGAACGCUGAUGCAGCGACGCCGGUUGAACGAAGAAGGCUUGCAAGACGUAAAGUUCUUUUAUAUGGGAAGCGGUACCAUAAGAAAAAGCCCCGGCUAACUACGUGCCAGCAGCCGCGGUAAUUC
rnacentral:rRNA from 1 species